AAAGAAUAUUGGACAAUGGUCGCAAGACUGAUCCAGCCAUGCCGCGUGCAGGAAGACGGCCCUAUGGGUUGUAAACUGCUUUUGUACCAGAGAAAACCUAUCUACGUGUAGAUAGCUGAUAGUAUGGUAAGAAUAAGCAUCGGCUAACUUCGUGCCAGCAGCCGCGGUAAGACGAAGGAUGCAAGCGUUAUCCGGAUUCAUUGGGUUUAAAGGGUGCGUAGGCGGGCUUGUAAGUCAGUGGUGAAAUCUCUCAGCUUAACUGAGAAACUGCCAUUGAUACUGCAGGCCUAGAGUAUAGAUGACGUUGGCGGAAUAUGACAUGUAGUGGUGAAAUACUUAGAUAUGUCAUAGAACACCGAAAGCGAAGGCAGCUCACUAUACUUAAAUUGACGCUCAUGGACGAAAGCGUGGGGAGCAAACA
rnacentral:rRNA from 1 species